GUUAAACCGGCGUGGGCUUCAUUCCUGUCACAAUCAUGAGGCCUGUGCGUACAGCCUACCAACAUCACUGCUAUAUAUAAGGAGGAAACUAGAGGCAAACAGCAAUCAGCGUUUUGGCUCUCCUGGUGGAACUCUCUCCUUCUGCAAGAUCCUAACUCUAACAGUGUUCGGGCUUCGACACUGGGGGAAAUCCUCUUUAAUCUGGUCUCUCGGGUGGAGUGGUUCUAAACAGUUCAACAGUUCUUUACCAAAAUUGUGAAAUGUUUAGGACCACUUGAUCAGGGUGAUCGAAACGUUUGAGUAUGAAGAAAGAAGAAAGCCACACUUUUUUUUCCCCGAAAAGGCUAAAUGUUACUGGUGGGAUGGAUUGCUUACUGGACUAACGAGUCGGAUACUGCAGAGGCGAAUCGGCUGUCACGGCCGACCCUCAGCAUUUCGGUAAAAUGUGGACGAUUUCAUUUUUUUCCCCUUGUUUUUUAACUCAAAUUUUUUUUGUGGGUUUCAGUAGAAUUCCAUUGUGUAAGAAUGUUACAAUGCGCAGUAAACCUGUUUUUAAUUGUGUUUCUUUAAGAAUAUAUAUUGUACUAUCGAUAUAGUAUAUUACUGUUUUUCGUACAAUUCGACUGCCACCUGUGGACGAUUACACUGUAGUCUAAAGCGCCCUCUUCCGUUCGAUCGUGUUUUCUUUUGCAUACGUUCUCCACUAAGACCUAUUAACUAUUUCUAGUUAACAAUUAAAUUACUCGAUUUUUACAUUUUUUUCUGAGUAAUGCCUAAACACCAUUAAAAUGUAGUAUGAGAUAAUUAGUCAAUGGGAUUAUUGCCAAUCACGAACAGCCAAAAAUUAGCUUCAGUGGUAGUCAUACACUAAAUAUGUAAAUGUAUGUAAAUUAUGCAAUGUUGCGGCAAGAAUAAUCAGUUAUAUAAAUAUUACCUGUUUUUUUUUUAAUCCUGAUAUAUUUUUCAAGAGGCAAUAAAAGGAGUCUUCGGUCACUAAUAAAGUCUGAAAACAA